rnacentral:rRNA from 1 species
UCCCGUUGAUCCUGCGGGGGAGUGCUGCUAUUGGAGUUCGAUUAAGCCAUGCAAGUCAGAGGGUCCGCAAGGACACAGGCUGAAUGCUCAGUAACACGUCAAUAAUCUGCCCUUAAGUACGGGAUACCCUUGAGAAAUUGAGGUUAAGACCGUAUCGGUAAGAAAUACUGGAAUGUUUUUUUACUUAAAGGCAACGCUUAAGGAUGAGUUGGCGGCUGAUUAGGCUGUUGGCGGUGUAACGGACCACCAAACCUUUGAUCAGUACGGGCCAUGAGAGUGGGAGCCCGGAGAGGGAUACUUAGACACGGAUCCCAGCCCUACGGGGUGCAGCAGGCGCGAAAACUUUACACUGUACGCAAGUGCGAUAAGGGAACUCCAAGUGCUCAAGCAAUGCUUGGGCUUUUGCCAAGUGGAAGUAGCUUGGCGAAUAAGUGGUGGGUAAGACGGGUGCCAGCCGCCGCGGUAACACCUGCGCCACAAGUGGGAUUCACAUUUAUUGGGCCUAAAGCGUUCGUAGCCGGAUCAGUAAGUCUUGGGUGAAAUCGUUGCGCUUAACAAAACGGCGUGCCUGAGAAACUACUAAUCUAGGGACCGGGAGGAGUUAGGAGUAUUCCUGAGGGAGCGGUAAAAUGCUAUAAUCUCAGGAGGACUACCUGUGGCGAAGGCGCCUAACUAGAACGGGUUCGACGGUGAGGAACGAAAGCUAGGGGAGCAAAAGGGAUUAGAUACCCCAGUAGUCCUAGCUGUAAACUCUGUGAAUUAGAUGGUGCAUAUUCUUCGUGAAUAUGCACUGUCGGAGCGAAGACAUUAAAUUCACCGCCUGGGAAGUACGGUCGCAAGGCUGAAACUUAAAGGAAUUGGCGGGAGAGCACUACAAGGGGUGCGGCGUGCGGUUUAAUCUAACUCUACGCAGAGAAUCUCACCAGCAGCGACGGCAGAAUGAAGGUCAGGUCGAAUGUCUUACCUAACGAGCCGAGAGGUAGUGCAUGGCCGUCGUCAGCUCGUGCCGUGAGGUGUCCUCUUAAGUGAGGUAACGAGCGAGACCCAUGCCCAUAAUUGCUAGCGGGUACUUUAGUAUGACUGAGUACAUUAUGGGGACUGCUGUGGAAACACAGAGGAAGGUGUGGGCUACGGUAGGUCUGUAUGCUCCGAAUCUGCUGGGCUACACGCGCGCAACAAUGGCGGAGACAAUGGGAUGCUACACCGAAAGGUGACGCUAAACCUCCAAACUCCGUCUUAGUUUAGAUUGAGGAUUGUAAUUCAUCCUCAUGACACCGGAAUCCCUAGUAAUCGGGCCUUAUCACAGCCCGGUGAAUAUGUCCCUGCUCUUUGCACACACCGCCCGUCAAACCAACCGAAUUGGGUUCGGGUGAGAUGUAGUUUUCAAUUACAUCGAAUCCGGAUUUGGUGAGGUGGGUUAAGUCGUCACAAGGUA